ACUCCUACGGGAGGCAGCAGUGGGGAAUAUUGCACAAUGGGGGAAACCCUGAUGCAGCCAUGCCGCGUGUGUGAAGAAGGCCUUCGGGUUGUAAAGCACUUUCAGUAGGGAGGAAGGUAGUGUAGUUAACACCUGCAUUAUUUGACGUUACCUACAGAAGAAGCACCGGCUAACUCCGUGCCAGCAGCCGCGGUAAUACGGAGGGUGCGAGCGUUAAUCGGAAUUACUGGGCGUAAAGCGCAUGCAGGCGGCCUGUUAAGUCAGAUGUGAAAGCCCGGGGCUUAACCUCGGAAUUGCAUUUGAAACUGGCAGGCUAGAGUCUUGUAGAGGGGGGUAGAAUUUCAGGUGUAGCGGUGAAAUGCGUAGAGAUCUGAAGGAAUACCAGUGGCGAAGGCGGCCCCCUGGACAAAGACUGACGCUCAGAUGCGAAAGCGUGGGGAGC
rnacentral:rRNA from 1 species